rnacentral:rRNA from 1 species
GAUGAACGCUAGCUACAGGCUUAACACAUGCAAGUCGAGGGGCAGCAUGGUCUUAGCUUGCUAAGGCCGAUGGCGACCGGCGCACGGGUGAGUAACACGUAUCCAACCUGCCGUCUACUCUUGGACAGCCUUCUGAAAGGAAGAUUAAUACAAGAUGGCAUCAUGAGUCCGCAUGUUCACAUGAUUAAAGGUAUUCCGGUAGACGAUGGGGAUGCGUUCCAUUAGAUAGUAGGCGGGGUAACGGCCCACCUAGUCUUCGAUGGAUAGGGGUUCUGAGAGGAAGGUCCCCCACAUUGGAACUGAGACACGGUCCAAACUCCUACGGGAGGCAGCAGUGAGGAAUAUUGGUCAAUGGGCGAGAGCCUGAACCAGCCAAGUAGCGUGAAGGAUGACUGCCCUAUGGGUUGUAAACUUCUUUUAUAAAGGAAUAAAGUCGGGUAUGCAUACCCGUUUGCAUGUACUUUAUGAAUAAGGAUCGGCUAACUCCGUGCCAGCAGCCGCCGUAA